UACCUGGCCCAGCCGGGGAGAGGAGCUACUUUGGGCUUGUAUGUGCCUCACUUCUCCUUUUUUCCCAUCUUAAAAUGUCUGUUAUGAUUUUGUGAACAGGCAGCCUGCUCACAUGGCUCAGAUGCCAAAGGCUGCAAAAGGCUCUGGGGGAAGGAUUCCUGCUGGCCCUGCAGGCCCUGCUUCCUCUUUACCAGCCUGUGUGGCCGCUGCCGUGUGAGCAUCCAGAGCUAUUUCCACACAUCCUAAUGGAUGCAGCUUGCCCUGUGGAGGAGGCCAGGUCACAGAGAGAUGGGUAUGAGAUGGAUACCUCAUAUCCAUCCCAGGGGACAAGAGCCACCUGUUCUGAGAAGGCCACACUUCGAAUUACAGCUCUCUGGAGGAACUUCCCAGAAUUCUGAAGCAUGGAAACGAGAUUGAAACCACCUUCACUUCUACAAAGGAGACUGGAAUCCACAGAAUUUGACUGCCCCCUAACGCGCCCUUCUGCUCCAGCAUGAAGAAUAUCUGUCCUCAGACUAGAAUGGUGCCCUCUUUGGGUCCCUUUCACAAUGGAUGAUGCUCAUACCCUCACAUGGUCCUCAGAAUUGAAGUUGUGGUUCUUGAGAAGAGGGAGGAGGAGCAGGAGGAGAAGCAGUGGUCCAGGGUGUGGAGAAGAGCUGGCCUUCAUCAGCAACAGUCUUGGCCAGGGUCGUCAGCAGCUGCACAGUCCUGCUGGGUGGUGGGACCAGGCUGGGCUUUGUAAGUCAAGCUGGCUCAGCUUUCUGCCUGUGUGGCUGGAAAGUGCUGUGGUUAGGAAACAUCCCCCAUGGCUCAUGCACUGACAAUCAAGCCCCAGUGCUGGGAGGUCAUGGCUGUGAGGGUUCUGAGUGCUCAGAAUCAAGAGGUUGUUGCACUCAGUCUGGCUUGUGCCAUGUUGCCGCAAUGCCCUGGACUGCUGCACAGCCCCUCAGACGAGGCUCCUGGACUCUAGACCGCCAGGCUACAUGCUAAAUAAACCUUAAUUUCUUUUUUCCAGUACUGGAGAUUGAUCCCAAAACUUUUGCACUGAGUUAAUUUGCAAUUCUUAAAAAAGUUUUUAUGCCUGGUGUGGUGGUAUGUGGCUGUAUUCCUAGCAUAUGAGAGGCAGAGGCAAGAGGCACUGCAAGUUUGAGGCCAGUCUGGGCCACAUAGUGAGAACCUGUCUCAAAGAAC